AGAGUUUGAUCAUGGCUCAGGACGAACGCUGGCGGCGUGCUUAACACAUGCAAGUCGAACGAGACCCAGGCCUUCGGGCCUGACGUCUAGUGGCGAACGGGUGAGUAACACGUGAGAAACCUGCCCUGGAGACUGGAAUAACCAGAGGAAACUCUGGCUAAUACCAGAUAUCCUCAACUGGCCGCAUGGCCGAUUGAGGAAAGGCUCCGGCGCUCUGGGAGGGUCUCGCGGCCUAUCAGCUUGUUGGCGGGGUAACGGCCCACCAAGGCAACGACGGGUAGCUGGUCUGAGAGGACGAUCAGCCACACUGGGACUGAGACACGGCCCAGACUCCUACGGGAGGCAGCAGUGGGGAAUAUUGCGCAAUGGGCGAAAGCCUGACGCAGCAACGCCGCGUGGGGGAUGAAGGCUUUCGGGUUGUAAACCCCUUUCGGCAGGGACGAAAAUGACGGUACCUGCAGAAGAAGCCCCGGCCAACUACGUGCCAGCAGCCGCGGUAACACGUAGGGGGCGAGCGUUGUCCGGAUUUAUUGGGCGUAAAGAGCUCGUAGGCGGUUGCGUAAGUCGGAUGUGAAAACUCAGGGCUCAACCCAGAGACGCCAUCCGAUACUGCGCUGACUGGAGUCCGGUAGGGGAGCAUGGAAUUCUUGGUGUACCGGUGAAAUGCGCAGAUAUCAGGAGGAACACCUGUGGCGAAGGCGGUGCCCUGGGCCG
rnacentral:rRNA from 1 species